AGUGCUAAAAUCUCUUCAGUCCCUAACUGGCAGAUCUACCACCUGACUUCUGGAGAAAAGGAGCCAUGCCCAUGCCUUGAAACACACUUGGCUCUACGGUCACUAGGAAAUUGAUAUCUUGGGAGGUGCUCUACAGGAAUGGUCAGAGAGACUGACUGCCAAGAAGACGUUAAGAAUGACAGAGUGUGAGAAGCUGCGUAACGUCAGCCUUGGCACAGAGAGCUACACCAUCCGAGGCCAAAGUGUACCUCUAAGGGAGCCCCAGUGGUUGGACCAAGCUACCAGGUGGCCUCAGAGGACGGCAAGGGGGCUGAAGCCUGAGGAAUACCUCUUUCUUCCUGGCUGCCCAGAGCCCUGCCCUCAUGCUCACACCACAUUCCUGCAAGGAGACAUUGCCUUGGUCUGCUAGCCUGGACCCUCUCAGAGUUGGAAGGAUCUUUUAGAGAUAUAUGUCUUCGAUUAAUAGAAAAUGGCAAAACAAGUUCCUUACCAUGUUCCGAGAUUAAAAAUGUAAAACCUGGGAACCUUAAGGAAAAAAAUACAUAAAAGGAUACUUGGAGAUAUAAA